rnacentral:rRNA from 1 species
UACGUAGGGGGCAAGCGUUAUCCGGAAUUACUGGGUGUAAAGGGAGCGUAGACGGCAGUGCAAGUCCGGAGUGAAAGCCCGGGGCUCAACCCUGGGACUGCUCUGGAAACUGUAAAGCUGGAGUGCGGGAGGGGCAGGCGGAAUUCCUGGUGUAGCGGUGAAAUGCGUAGAUAUCAGGAGGAACACCAGUGGCGAAGGCGGCUCUCUGGUCUGCAACUGACGCUGAGGCUCGAAAGCAUGGGUAGCGAACAGG